UACAGAGGUGGCAAGCGUUGUUCGGAAUUACUGGGCGUAAAGCGCGUGUAGGCUGCUCUGCAAGUCGGGUGUGAAAGCCCCGGGCUCAACCUGGGAAGUGCACUCGAAACUGCAGAGCUCGAGUCCUGGAGAGGAAGGCGGAAUUCUCGGUGUAGAGGUGAAAUUCGUAGAUAUCGAGAGGAACACCGGUGGCGAAGGCGGCCUUCUGGACAGUGACUGACGCUGAGACGCGAAAGCGUGGGGAGCAAACAGG
rnacentral:rRNA from 1 species